rnacentral:lncRNA from 1 species
UAAUGAAUACCCGUUUUAGUUCUCAAGUAAGUAAUUAUAGUAACACAAAACACCUCUAUGGUAUUUUAGACUUAGGUUCUGUUAUAAUGUUCUCAUUAUGGUAAUGUCGGUAAGUUUUUAGCCUUGUCGCCAUAUCACAACCAUUCUUGAGCAUAUGCUAAUCACUCCUCGGACCAGCAUAGUUGAUUAGGCUAUGCUACUCCCAAGACUGACCAUACAUCCCCAGGCUUACUUGUGAUAUUCAACAAUAGUAAUACUUUUGUUCUUGUCAUUGUGACACUGAUUUUAGUAUGAAUGCAAGCACGUAUACUUAUUUAAAUAAUUUAUUAUUUAAAAGUAUAACUCUUAGAUAGAGUGUUUUAAUCCCAAUGUAUUUAUAGUUAGUAUAUCUUUUAUGGGUUGAUAUACUUAAUUCACUAUAAACAAUGCUCUGAUACCAAUCUGUCACACCCCAAAACCAAGAACGGCGGAAACGUUCCGGGGUGGAGGACGUCAUGUGAAGUAUCAUAACAGUGUAAAGUAGUAAACAAGCAACAACAUCAUCCAUUGCAUUAAAAGUAAAGUUUUAAUACAUGUGUGUUCUUUCAUAAUGUACAACAAUAAAAUGAAUAAUCAAAAUAAGACGAGUCUUGUCUGUGCUCCGUCUUCUCAAAACCUGGCCAUCGUACCUGUCUAACCGGUGACCUGAGAAUACAAGUUAUUUUGAAAGCGAGUAUCAGCCUAAAGCUGGUGAAUUCAUAAGUAUUUAAGUGUCAUUGUCUUGUUUUGGAAAGCUGUUAUGAAUGCCAUGUAAAUCUUUAAAUGAAACAAUUGAUAUAAGUAUGAAAAACCCUAGAAAAUCCCAUCUUUCCUACUAGUAUGAAAUGUAGUCUUCUACCAAGACCCGAAUCUUUUGUUAUGACAAUGUAGUCUUCUACCAAGACCCGAAUGUUUUACUAUGAUAAUGAUAGUUUUCCUUCUUUUUGACUAUUACAAACAGUACUUAGUCUAACUCAUCGUUUAUGUGAAUGUAUCACAAAAUAAAGUAAAUAGGAAAAGAAUAUAAUAGUCUUCUACCAAGACCCGAAUGUUUUGCUAUGAAAAUGAUAGUUUUUCCAUCUUUUUGACUAUUACAAAUAGUACUUAGUCUAACUCAUCGUUUAUGUGAAUGUAUCACAAAAUAAAGUAAUAGGAAAAAUAUAAUCAUGUAAGUGUUAUCCUUUUGUAUUAGGAUUAACAUGACAUCGCGAUUUGCGAAAUGUAUAACCUUUGAACAUCCGUAGAUUGUUCAAUUGUCCUCUGUAGCUACAACAGGGCGGAGGAAGGGUUAGUCCCGUUAAGGUACUCCUAAUAUAAGUAUUAACCGUAGGCAUUCGUAGAUGUUCAUCGACCUCUGUAGCGAACAGUAGGCCCGAGGAAUGGUUUGUCCCGUAGAGGUACUCCUAGUAUAAGUAAUAACCGUAGGCAUCCGUAGAUGUUCAUCAACCACUGGUGCUAACAGUUGGUAAGUUUUUAGACUUGUUGCCAUAUCACAACCAUUCUUGGGCAUGUGCUAAUCACUCCUCAGAACAGCAUAGUUGAUCAGGCUAUGCUACUCCCAAGACUGACCAUACAUCCCCAGGCUUACUUGUGAUAUUCAACAAUCGUAAUACUUUUGUUCUUGUCAUUGUGACACUGAUUUUAGUAUGAAUGCAGGCACUUAUACUUACUUAAAUAAUUUAUUAUUUAAAAGUAUAACUCUUAGAGAGAGUGUUUUAAUCCCAAUGUAUUUAUAAUUAGUAUAUCUUUUAUGGGUUGAUAUACUUAAUUCACUAUAAAAAAUGCUCUGAUACCAAUCUGUCACACCCCAAAACCAAGAACGACGGAAACGUUCCGGGGUGGAGGACGUCAUGUGAAGUAUCAUAACAGUGUAAAGUAGUAAACAAGCAACAACAUCAUCCAUUGCAUUAAAAGUAAAGUUUUAAUACAUGUGUGUUCUUUCAUAAUGUACAACAAUAAAAUGAAUAAUCAAAAUAAGACGAGUCUUGUCUGUGCUCCGUCUUCUCAAAACCUGGCCAUCGUACCUGUCUAACCGGUGACCUGAGAAUACAAGUUAUUUUGAAAGUGAGUAUCAGCCUAAAGCUGGUGAAUUCAUAAGUAUUUAAGUGUCAUUGUCUUGUUUUGGAAAGCUAUUAUGAAUGCCAUGUAAAUCUUUAAAUGAAACAAUUGAUAUAAGUAUGAAAAACCCUAGAAAAUCCCAUCUUUCCUACUAGUAUGAAAUGUAGUCUUCUACCAAGACCCGAAUCUUUUGUUAUGACAAUGUAGUCUUCUACCAAGACCCGAAUGUUUUACUAUGAUAAUGAUAGUUUUCCUUCUUUUUGACUAUUACAAACAGUACUUAGUCUAACUCAUCGUUUAUGUGAAUGUAUCACAAAAUAAAGUAAAUAGGAAAAGAAUAUAAUAGUCUUCUACCAAGACCCGAAUGUUUUGCUAUGAAAAUGAUAGUUUUUCCAUCUUUUUGACUAUUACAAAUAGUACUUAGUCUAACUCAUCGUUUAUGUGAAUGUAUCACAAAAUAAAGUAAUAGGAAAAAUAUAAUCAUGUAAGUGUUAUCCUUUUGUAUUAGGAUUAACAUGACAUCGCGAUUUGCGAAAUGUAUAACCUUUGAACAUCCGUAGAUUGUUCAAUUGUCCUCUGUAGCUACAACAGGGCGGAGGAAGGGUUAGUCCCGUUAAGGUACUCCUAAUAUAAGUAUUAACCGUAGGCAUUCGUAGAUGUUCAUCGACCUCUGUAGCGAACAGUAGGCCCGAGGAAUGGUUUGUCCCGUAGAGGUACUCCUAGUAUAAGUAAUAACCGUAGGCAUCCGUAGAUGUUCAUCAACCACUGGUGCUAACAGUUGGUAAGUUUUUAGACUUGUUGCCAUAUCACAACCAUUCUUGGGCAUGUGCUAAUCACUCCUCAGAACAGCAUAGUUGAUCAGGCUAUGCUACUCCCAAGACUGACCAUACAUCCCCAGGCUUACUUGUGAUAUUCAAC